GAUGUCCAAGGCUGGGGGAAGGUUAGCAAGUCCUCUUACAGUUAUUGACACUCAAAUGACAUCAGUUCAGUUUAUUGUAUCACUGCAUGCAUCUAUCCAUCUGAAGCCCUGAACUGAUUGCCCUCAGUGAGCAGUGUAGCAGACUUUAGAUCACUGAAAAAGUUAUGCCUAGGGCUUUUCUCACUCCAUAAAGCAUAUGUGUUGCCCAGCUCCUCUCAGUUUCUAGGAGUGGGAGUUAAUUAAAUACUUGGCAGACAGAAUUUAUACCUCAUGUCUAUGGGAAGGGAUUACUGUGAAAGGAGCUAACAGAAUGGAUUCCAGCUGAACUUUAUUCUUUUUGUUCCAGAUUUCUUCUCAAAUGUCAAGUUAGUCUUCCACAGAUAAUGCAUUUUAUAUUGUAUGUGAUUCUGGAUAGGUCAUGGAUAAUCUCAGGCAAGGGCUCUGAAUGAGAACAAUUACUGCUUUGGAGGAGAUAUGUAAUUUUUUUUUUUUUUUUAAGGCUUGCUUUGAUCAGCCACAGCUACCUAGCUAGCAUAUCAUUGUCCUAAUUAGCAUGUGUUCAAAUCCCACUGGUGUUUCAAUCGCCUCCAUGUCUAAAUUCCCAAAUCUAUCCAUCUCAUUGACAGGCCUCUAACUAGAAGCAUCCUCCUGGACAUGCUGGCCUGUCACAUAAAAAGUCCCAGCUUAAAAAGUGUCCCCACCUUAGUUGUAAGCCCACUGUUUUCUCAAGGGGCUAGGCUAAGGGCUACAGUACUCCAAACGUGCCAUGCUGGAGAGAUUGUGCUUUUGUGAGCCCCAUCUCCCCACUUCCCUGUGAGCAUGUCAGUCUUCAUCAAAAAAGGAAUAAUCAAUGUAUGUUCUGAUAUUACCAGAACACAAGUUUGGAUGUGUCUUAGCAACUUACGGAAAUAAUUGUUCUGCCCCAAGGGAACAGCUGAAUCCUCAGCUUUGGAGGGGACACUAUAGAUAAUCUGGCAAAGAAGGAGGGAAAAGGUCCAUACUAAUACAAGAUGCUAAGACUUUGUCAUCGAAUCCAACAGACAACUACCCAAGUACACACUAACUCUCUGCCAUUAAAGCCAACUACCCAACCCAGACAUACCAGUUACACAAUAAUGCUUCCAUCAGUGGUAACAAUAUGCCAAUGACGUCUUAGCAACAUGACGAUUGUAUGACCAUUACCCGCAGACACACUGGAUCCAAGGAAUCAGAACUUGCCCUCAGGCAGCUUCCCUACUACUAAGCCAAAGUAUUUUGCUGGGGCUGCUGCUGCUACUUCUGCAUGGUGUUGGGAGAGUUCUGUUAUAUAAUAAGAAAUGAUAAGCCAGAUAUUGUCAGAAAAACAUGGGAAGACUUACAUGAAGUUAGCAGAAUGAGGACAACAGUGCACUUGGUAACAGCAAGAUUGUUCAAUGAAGAACUGGGAAUGACGUAGCUAUUCUGACAAAUAUGAAGGACUUAUUGUGAAAAAUGCUCUGCACUUCCAAAAAAAGAACUGAUGAAGUGAAUCACCUCUGGCAACAAUAGCAAACGCUAUGGUUUUGAGAUGAAGAGCACACAAGAUCUGUCAGAUACUCAUUAUCCUUUACAAGUUAUCACUGAAUUACUGGCAGGGGAUGAAUAAUUAUAUUUAAAAAGAACUUGUGUUCCACAGGGUGGACCUUCCCGGAGAAGUCAAGACUCCCUCAGCAGACUCCUACUGGGAACCGAGGACUUCUUAAUUGCUAAAACUUGAGAGCCCCUUGGAGUUGCCUUCAAUUCUCCUCCUCAAGCUCCAGCAUCAGGAUCAAUCAUCACUUGGAACAGACACAACGUCUUACAGCAUUUUAUAAUCAACUUCAGUCUUUUCCUUCACACAGAAAUGUUCUCUGCCCUUUUCAUCCCCAGAUUGCAGUGUAUCUUCCACUCUGAAUGAGUUUCUAAAUAUCACAUGAACGUACCUGAGUCAGACCUAUGGUCUGUAUCCAUGGAAGGAGAACCCGAAAGGUGGAAUGACUAAGCAUCAUCCCCCACGCUACGCCCACCUAAGACUCCCUAUUGUUCAUGCUUUAGGACAAAGAACUCUUUUUUUAAUGAAUUCUUCAUGGAAACAACUAAGCUCCUGGAAGGGUCAGCUCAAGAACCACUUGUAUUAAGGCCUUUCUGGAUUUUCCCUGGGUGUCGGUGGCCUCUCUCCCUGUCACCACAGACUCCAGAAAGUUUCCAGACCUCAGUAGCUCAGUACAAUAAAACAUGGGAGCCACAACCAGAAAAUAAAGUAAGCCCCAUUUUAGCAUUAGAAGGAAUUUUUACUGAGGUCUUGCUCUGGCCUUCCAGCAAGUCAACGAGAGGACUGUGUUCCUUACACAGCACAAAAAACCCUGACAGAUUCUUCCCCCCCCCUCCGUGUGCGCUCACCUGGGGAGGACUUGAAGCCCCCGAGAAGCCUGUAAGCUCGCUGUCCCUCUUGACCCUUCAGGUCCUAAGCUGCAAGGACAGCGCCCACAAGCAGGGAAGACUUGGGCAGGGAGGCUGGGGCGGGUUGGACCUGCCUGUGUUCAGUGACUCCUCCCCUCUCAAAAGUCUCUGAGCUGCAACACCUGGGGCUUCCUGCAAGAUACAGAAUCACCACCCUUCCCUGCCCCCCAUCCUGUAAGUGUCUGUAUCAGCCAUGUAGGGAUCUUGGGGAGUCUAGCCUCCACUCCCCCACCUCUGCCACUGCAGCAGCUGCGCACUCGCCGCAGCCUUGCCCACCCAGAGCCAGACUGGAGACUAAACAUGAUGCCCUUACCUCUUUCUCUACAUUUUUAAUUUGAAAACCUCUCUCUGGCUCCAAUCCUACCCCUGCCCACCCCUGCCACCUAUCCUGAGGCCCCAAGAAAUGAAGAAGAUGCUCACUGUACCUGAGAUGACCUAUUAGAAAUACUCCCAUGUGUCCACAUCUUAAGGGAUCAGGGCAGGGCAAUGGUCAGGGAACAAGCGAUCUACCCACUGGUUUGGUCCUGGUUUCUCUGAGAAGAAAAAGACAAAAGACCCAAGCCAUGCUGCUGUCAACCACCCAAAGAACUUGGGGAAUCCUUCCUCAUUUUCCCACUGCCCAGA